CAAUAGCGUAUAUUAAAGUUGUUGCAGUUAAAAAGCUCGUAGUUGGAUUUCUGGUGGGAGCGAUCGGUCUGGCGCUUAGCGCGAGUACUUGCAUCGUCUCCGGCCAUCCUUGGGGAGAGUCUGUCUGGCAUUAGGUUGUCGGGCAGAGGAACCUCAUCGUUUACUGUGAAAAAAUUAGAGUGUUCAAAGCAGGCUUAUGCCGUUGAAUAUAUUAGCAUGGAAUAAUAAGAUAGGACUUUGGUACUAUUUUGUUGGUUUGCGCACCAAAGUAAUGAUUAAUAGGGACAGUUGGGGGUAUUCGUAUUCCGUUGUCAGAGGUGAAAUUCUUGGAUUUACGGAAGACGAACUACUGCGAAAGCAUUUACCAAGGAUGUUUUCAUUAA
rnacentral:rRNA from 1 species